rnacentral:rRNA from 1 species
CCUACGGGAGGCUACAGUGAGGAAUAUUGGUCAAUGGACGAGAGUCUGAACCAGCCAAGUAGCGUGAAGGAUGACUGUCCUCUGGGUUGUAAACUUCUUUUAUAUGGGAAUAAAAUGUUCCACGUGUGGGCUUUUGUAUGUACCAUAUGAAUAAGGAUCGGAUAACUCCGUGCCAGCAGCCGCGGUAAUACGGAGGAUCCGAGCGUUAUCCGGAUUUAUUGGGUUUAAAGGGAGCGUAGGUGGAUUGUUAAGUCAGUUGUGAAAGUUUGCGGCUCAACCGUAAAAUUGCAGUUGAUACUGGCAGUCUUGAGUACAGUAGAGGUGGGUAGAAUUCGUGGUGUAGCGGUGAAAUGCGUAGAUAUCACGAAGAAUACCGAUGGCGAAGGCAGCCCACUGGACUGCAACUGACACUGAGGCUCGAAAGUGUGGGGAUCAAACAGGAUUAGAUACCCGAGUAGUC